AUUACAGUCUGAAGCCUUCAACAACCGAAAAGGAGGAAACUAGGUGAACAAAAACUAAUCAAGUUAGGCGCCAAAGCUCUGAUACGAUGUUAAGAGCCGAAAUCUGCGAGAGAAAAUAGUUUAAUUUUCUGAAAACUCGUUUAUUCUUUUUGCCUCUUUUGUCCAAUAUGUGUGCGUGUGUGUAUACACAGAUUACAAUGAAACUAUAUAUUUUGCAAUUUCUAAGAAUCGGCUAUCAUUAACCGAAAGAUAAAUUCCAUAAUUAUCUAUAGUAACAGAUAUACGGAGGAUUGCAUUAGUGACAUAUAGGUGAGCCCAAUAGAAUGCAACGAAUAAAGAACCAAAUUGAGAAAGAAAGAGAAAGGGAAGGAAAGAGAGGAAGAGAGAGAAGAAAUAAGAGAAUAUAGUAUGAAAUUGGGGAGAGAGUAUAAUUUAUAUAUAAACAAAGUUUGAGUAUUACAAUGAAUAGAUUCUUUAUAUAGAGUCUAAUCAAACUUAAUUUGAGAAGGACAAUAAUCUUAUUCUAGUCAAAUUAGAAAAUUAAAAUAAACUAAUCUAAUCAUAACAAACAUAACUUAUGUCAAAUUCUAUUUUAAAAUUCUAUUUAAAUCUUAUAUUUAUUCUUUUCAUUUUCCAUCACUUCUUUCCAAAUGAGAAAACUCGACUCCUACGAAAUAUACUGCAAGACGAACUUUCUUAUUGAUCAAAUGAUCUAACCAAAGAACUUUUAAUGAAGUAACAAUAGGGAACUCCAAAAAAAUAACAACCCAUGCAACUCAUCCACAAAAAUUAUAAGAAAUCCAAAUGGUGUUUUCCAUACCUUUUUCAUCCCUCUGGGUUAGAGGGAAGUUCAAAACUUAGCUAUGCCCUUCUUAAUUCUAGAAACCCAAAAGCUUGUGAACACAUUCAACCAACCAGAAAGCAUGAGUAACUUGAUGCUAGUGCAUUGAUAGAUUGAUUCACAGAAACAGAUGAGUGCAAUCCUUAUAGCUCGAAUGUAGGAAAAAUUUUGCUGCACCGAAAACAAAAUAUUCAUUUAAAUAUGAUGGUCAAAUAGAUUAUUUUCAUCUAAGCUAUCUAAACAUUUUUUUUCCUUUCAAAAGCUGUGCAAAAGAAACACGUAAUAACGAGGCUUAAAAAUUAUUCAUCAAAAACAAGCAUUAUUUUCAUUAUUUAAAUAAAUUUUUCUUUUUAUCUUAACUUGAAAAAUCAGGAAAAGGUGCAAUAGAGAUCGGAGCUAAAAUAACAUGAUGGUAACUAGUAGGCAACAAUCAAAUGUCAAUAGGAAAAUUAUAUGAUCGAAUAGUGGCCUUGAGAUAAAAUGGCAAUCCGAAGAAUAUCGCGUAGCUGAGGUAACAUUAGAACAAAGUCGGUUGUAAAUUGGCACAUAGGAGUAGGCGAUAACAAUUCGGCACGAAGGUGAGGAUGUGUAGAAUGUCUGGUUUAGGUGGCAACGCUUAAGGCAAUUCCUCAAUGGUAUCAAAUUUAACUAUGUCAAAAACAUGUACGAGGGGAUACAAGACAAUUCUCAAAAACUUCAUUCUUACCAUUAGAAUAUUCAAUAGGCUCAUAAAUAAAAUCCUCAUUUUCUUGAUCAUGAUAAAGACUAACAUAAUCGGACAUUGGAAGUGAUCAGGACUGCAAUGGUAAGCCUAGUGUGCUUGGCAAAGAUGGAAGGAUAUAUCCCAUAGGUUGGCUUUCAGGUAAGCUUCAUCAAGGAUUGGGAUUCGAGAAUGUCGUCAUGCUUUUUUCAGAAUUUAAAUCGUUGAGAAACCCAAACUCUAGGACAUGGAUAUCUUUAUAAAUAUCACACCUAUGUAAUAGUUAUAAGAAUUAAACCAUUAAGAAACUUGAACUCUGAGACGUGGAGAUCUUUAUAAUUAUCAUAACUGUGUAAUAGUUAUUCAAAGUGGGCUAGAUACUAGCUAAUAAUAGAUGUACUUUGCCAAAGUGCAAAAAGAAUAGAACUAGGGGCUUGGAGUUGUUAUAUGAAUCGUAUGUGGUGUUGAUUAUUUGAAAUAGCUAUAAAUUAUCAUGUAGCACACUUAACAAAACUCUAAAACCGAAUCAAAUAAUUUUUGUUUUUAAUUAAACCGAACAAAAGAAAAUGAAAAAUUUGACCAAUUAACAACUAAAAGUAAAUUUUAUUUAUUUAAUUAAUUUUUAAAAAAAAAAAUCGAAAUUGCGAAACACUUGAAAAAAGUAAAGGUAUUAAGAUAGUAAAAAGUCUACAAGAGCAAUUGAUAUGGAGCCAACUGUAGGCAUAAUAAUUAUUCAAGCAUUCAAGAUUCCAUGCGAGAAUCGGAUUACAUCAGUGUGGCUCCUUGAUCGGAAUUAACAACAAAGUACCUAUCAAUAGUUUUUUUUCUUUUUGGAUUUUUUUUUUCUUGUAACUAACAAGAACAAACGUAAAUAACUAAGGAAUGAACAAUUCGGCCUUUUAUUUUUAUAUUUUUAAAAAAAUAAUAAUAAGACGUAACCAACUAUAGCUUUGUUGGGGAACAACUCCGACUUACGUGAUAAAUGAAAAAAAAAAUGUUUUUGUAACAAUAAGUCGCUGUUUGGGCUGCAUUCUGAAAAAAAUGCAUUUUUCUCUCAUCUUUUCAACCAUACAUUCCCAUAAAAUAAUAUUACACGUAAAUUCAAAACUUUUUCUUAUUUUUUAAUCACACAAUUUUUUUAAAAAAUUACUAUUCAAAAAUAAAUUUUUCUCCAAAAUGCAUUUUAGUUGGAGCCCAAACAUGGGCUAAGUAAAAGCUAAAACAAAGUGAGAAACAUCUUUUGUCAACUAAGUUGUUUUUUAUUUUUUAUUUUUUUUUCAAUUGCUGAUUUGGGGGAAUUUUUUAUGGUUUAAGGUGGCUAUGAUUGUAAGUGUAUAAGUUUUAAUUUUGAAAAAGAAAUUUUAGUCAAAGAAAAAUGAGUUGCUCUAAUAACAAAUUGAUGUAGAACAUAAUGAACAAAGAACAAGUUUAGAUAAAAAGAGAAGGAGAAGAGAAGAGAGAUGAAAGAGAAGAGAAUAUAGAAAAAAUUGGGGAAGAAAAGUAUUAAUUUAUUUAAUAAUUAAACUUGAAGUAUGAAAAUGAAUAGACAAGCUUUAUAUAAAGUCUAAGCAAACCUAAUUUGAGAAGGAAAUAACAAUCCAAUUAUAGUUAGACCAGAAAACUAUAAUAAAUUAAUCCGAUCAAAACAAACAUGAUUUGAAAUUAAAUUCUUCAUUAAAAUCCGAUAUUUAUUCUUAUCACCAUUGUCCCUCAGUAGGCAUAAGGCGGAUUCCCAAGCUUGGGUUCUAGUUGAUAUAGGGCUGAUUGUAUUAGUUCCAUGGCAUAGUAGAGAUAUGGUUGCUUAGGUCAAGAAUGUUCCAAUAGGACUUAACUUAUUUUUAUCCAUUUUUCUUUUCUUUUCUCUUAUUUUCUAGUUCAGAGAUAUGGGGAGAGAUUGGGAUAUUUACCACAAAGAAUUGAUGAAGUAUUGGAAAAUGUACUGUCAUUAUUGUAUGUUAGUACUUUCACUAUAAUUUGGAUUAGUUCGUUAUAUGCAACAGUUGUAUACAUACUGCAUUUGUCACUCCAACGGCAAAUUUUUUUAUUUGUGGAUGGAACUUUCAUGUUAAACUUUUGACCUUAGGAUAUAGCCUUCAGUGUACAUUAACAUUGCUAACUAUGAUUUAUAAAAUCAAUGGUUCACUGUCGCUGUUUUACUUGCACUUUUUAAAUUGGUGGUGAAGUGAAUAGUAAUAUUCCCGUGUUUGUGUUUUAGGUAGUUUUUGAAUUCUACGUAAUGAUUGCACUUUUUUAUAGUGUGAGGAAUUAUGGCUUGGGAAAGUACACAUACCUCGGAUAUCAAAAGUUCCAGGAAUAUCAAAAUUGGCUUCUUACUCUCUGUCCAUUAUGGAUGGCAAACGAGUGAGUAACUAGUAAUCUUCUCUCGCUUACAAACUACAUACUCAGGGUAUGUUGGUAUGCAGUAGUGGAUAGUACAAUGAACAAUAUUUUCCCUCUGUCUUUUUUAUUUAACACUGUCGGAUUACUAUCCAACAUGCUAUCAAAAUUAUGAAAGUGUACACCAUGUUUCAGUGACUUUGAUUGAUGAUCUUCAGAUCUCUGCCUAAUGCACCUCAAACUCCCAAUCUUUCUGAUUUCAGGCAAGAAUAACGUGCAAUGAUCUCUGUGAUCAUGUGUGGGAAUUUCAUUUCACUGAGGUAUAUACUUCAUUCUUAUUGGUGUAGCCAAUCCUUGCAUGUUUCUGAUGAAGCUCUAGAAAAUUUACUUUGAAAUUUUUAGGUUCAGCUAAACAUGCUCAUAGUCAUGUACGGUUGCUCUAAAAGAUGUGUUAGGUGCAGGCACUUUCCUCAGUUGCCAUCUCUAGAAAACCAUCAAGUCCCCUAAUUUUUGUUUCUCAUUUACCUUCGUUUAGCCGCUUUAGUUCUUUCCUAUUUUAUGUUCUAUUUCAAUUUUGCUUCCGCAAUUUGUUUUCAUGUUUCAACCUACACAAACUGUUAAAUUUUCUCAAAUGUCAGAAGUGUUGAAGACUGAAUCUCAUAUGCGUGACAACUCUUUCAUUAACCCAGUCUUUCGUUUCUGCAUUCCCAACUUCUUUGUUUGCUGCAAAUGCAGCCCAAGUUCAUAUUGUCUCUUAGAUUAGGCAACCAAGAUUAUUUGGAUAAUUAAAUUCGAACUAUCUCAAGAAACACUUAAAUUAGUGUUCCAUUUUUAAUUACCUUUACGGGAAACUCCCCUAAGAAAGUAUUUACUUGAUGUUCAUUCUUUUAUGCAGCUCCGAGCUGCCAUAGUUCUUCUAUAUUUAUAUUUCAGCUGAUUCUAUAGAAAUAUGGCUUUGCUAUUUGUUUUCAUAAAAUGUAAAGAUCCCAAGUUGUUUGAUUAGCUGUCAUAUACUUCCACAGUCCUUGAAAGUAAAACUCCCAACUCGAGCCAGAGCUUACAAAUUUAUCAUGUGCCAUGUCUUUUUAGUUUUUAUUUUUCUUCUCUUUGGGUACAUAUCUUUUAGGUUCUCCCUUACCCCGUCUUCGCAGGUAGUAGAUACAGCAGCUAAAACUUUACUGUUCCAGUUUCUACCAAAUUAUUCAUACAAUUCCAAAUUAUGAAGAAAAAGUUCCAUUAGUAUUUUCAUUUAUUAUUUACCUUUCUUUUGACAUUUAAUCCUUUUCUGAUGGGCUAUGUAGUUAGUUGCUCAAGAAGCUAUUACUUCAUGGACUAAUUAAUGCUGCUGUAUAAACUUUUUUCGAACCUAGAUUAUAUUUCAAUUUGUCAGGAUGAAUGACCACAAAUUUAUUAAGGAUAAGACUUUAGUUAUCGUUCUAUAUUAUGCUCAUUGUCCUCAAGACAAUGUAGACAAAAUCAAAGCAUGGGCCCCAAAAAAUGAUUAAUUUGAUGAUCUUACCCGGAUAUUCUGAUGAUCUCCUCUUUCUGUAGGAUGCUCCUGAAUAUUGGCGAAAUCUUGAUCCUUACUGGACAGGCACAGGAAGUACAUUGCGCCGGUAUUUCCAUCCAGAUGGAAGCAUAUCUGCAGAUCCUGGUGAUCUGGUAUGGGGCGGCCACGAGUCAUGCUACACUACAGUUACCGGAUUGCUGGAAGAUGGAGAAAUACGAGAACAUUAUGUGAGAAUCAAUCGUUGGCCUCAAUUACAUGUUUUGAGGAAGCCCGAUUGGGGUUGGGAAUUAUCAAACCAUCUCUACUGCUACACUAGUGUCCCUGAUGCCGAAAAGGAAGAUGGAACGGGUCCUCUGUUUCCAGUUUUUUAGUCUAGUUUUGAGGGUGUUUUAUGUUUGAUUAAUGUUAUAGACUCUGUUCUGGCAAGGAGAUUUUGUUUUAUGUAUGUAUGCAUGUAUAUAUUGGUAAACAUGUCGUGUUUAUUUCAAUGAAAAAAUUUCAUAUGAAUCUAAAUGGGCAUGGCUGUCUUGGGAAAAAAACACGGGGGAUUUGUGUAUCUAUAUUGGAUUAAACUACUUGUACAUGACACCCCCUAUGUGUAAAAAAUUUGGCAGUUGAUUGGAAAAAGUGUCGUGAAGAUAAACGUACUCACAUGGAUGUAAAUCACCGUGUCAAUCUUUAUGUACUUAUAGCAUUGUCCAUUUAUAUUUUCUAUUAACAUUACAACUUUAAAAAACAAAUAUGCUAUAGUGCUAGGAAGGUUGACACAAUGUCACGUGAUAUAUUAUAUUAUUGAACAUUUUAUAAUAAAAUCAACUUUUCCAUCCAAUCAUCUACCAUCAUUUAUCUUUGCAUUUGUCAAUAUCUUUCAAACAAAGUGGCAUGAUCUUUUUAAAAACAUUUAAAUAUAAGAAGAUAGAAAGACUUGGCCUAUGAGAGUAACAAAAAAAAUUAUUGUGGUCUUUCCUCUUUGAAAUGAAGAAAGAGUAAUUCUAUUUCACUUCCCUGAAAUUACAACGUCAAGUUUUAAUUUGAUAUUAAUUGAUUGAUAGAAUUAAAAAACUCGUUUAAUUUCAAAUUUCAUUUGACAUAUUAUGAGAGUGUUUGAUGGGUAUUUUUAUGAAAAAAUGCAUUUUAAAAUAAUAAAUUGAUAUGAAAUGUGUAGUUGAGAAAUGAGGAAAUUUUUUUUUUAUAUGUAAUAUUAUUUUAAUAAAGAAUGUGUAAUUAAAAAAAAGUGAAAAAAAUACAUUUUAAAAAAAAUAGCUACCAAAGGGCACCUAUAUAGUGCCAUUUAGACUAGGAUGCAAUCCCUAGGGAACACUUUACCUUCUUCCGGACUCCCAACGCCCCACCCUAACCCAACAAAACACACCCACCACUGAAAAUCGCCGCCCCUAUUCACCCACCUGCCAUCCGGAAAUGGCUCGUUAUCACUGUACACGAAUCCACCUACUCCCCCAUCCUCCUUUCUCUCCCUCAAUCACUCAGCCCUCAGGCAGUUUAUCUAUAAAACUCACCGGGUCACCUCCGAGUUUUCUUGAAUAUUUGACUCAGCUCUUCCAAUGGAGGUCGAAACUCGCGCUCCUGCAGCCUUUGAUACUUCUCAUUUUUCUUCUACUCCCAUAAACCACUCGGAGAUUUGCGACGUUGAGCUUCAAUGCCGUAGAUGCCCGGCUACUCGAAUGAAGCUCUGGAACAGCACGAAGUUGAAUCACCAGCCUCCAAUCUUAAUAAUUAUUGGAAUGAAUACGCAAAAUUGAAAGUCAAUAAUUAUUGGAAUAAAUAAGUUUUCAUAUAAUAUUAAGGAGAAACAGAUUGAAUGAUUGGUCGAAAAUGAAAAGAACUCUUUCUUUUAUCAGGCCCAUUGUGAUGCUAGAAAGAGGGUUUGAAUUUUGGUAUUUUUCUUACAUUUCAAAUUGU
rnacentral:lncRNA from 1 species